CACUAGGUAAUAUUCAGCUCUCACUCGCGCUUGUGACGGCCUUCUUCUGUUUACAUAAGUCAUCCAAACAGACAUUUUUAAGAAGCUUAAUAAUAUAAAUUUUUGCUUUAAUAAGAGAGACCAAAAGAAAACAAAACACAAUAAUUGAUGUAACUUAUGCCGCCUUUGCCGUAUAUUCAAAACGAACGAAUGAUCAAACUACGUAAAGAACGAAUAACCAGCCAGCCAACGGAGAACGGACACGGACACGGCUGAGAAAAUAAAUUUUCUAUUUCGAUUUCGGAUAAAAUAAAAACUGUGCUAACGCACAUCGAAAAUAAGUGUGUGCGCAGGAGGCUCAUUAUAUUUAGAGGGCAGAAGAGCCACCUCCUUAUCUAAUUUAGAAAAUUUCAAUUCAACACUGUGUUCGGCUGUGGUGAGUAUUUUUAAUACAAAAAUGCCAAGUGCCAAGAGCAACACGUCAAUGUGAUGCGUAAGCAGUGACAAAACCAAAAACAAUUUUUUUUUCUUAAAUAAUAAAUAAAUUGAAAAUCGUGCGCGAUUAUAGAAAUAGGUGUCUCCGGAAAGUGGUCACAGGAAAAUCAUCACUUGUUUAUUUUAUUUUUGAAAUUUUUACUUACAAUAUAUUGAAAUGAAGUAGUGCUUGUGUACGUUGUAUGGAUAGUUUUGAGUCAUGUUAAGUAUUCGUAAAGAAAAAGGUGAUUUCAUCAAUGAAUUGUUGAGAAAGCUCGAGUUGCAGUGUGUGGAAGAGCGAAAUAAAAUGUAAAUAAAUUGCAGUAAAAUGUCGUUGGUACAGGAAAUACGAAACGUGUUAGUUUUAAAUAAAGAUAUGAGUCGCAAAUUGUUUAAAAGUACAAUUUUGUGCACAUUCUUUUAUAUUAUUCAUCAAAAUCUGUAUUUGGUUCUUAUAAAUCUUUAAAAAUCUCACGCAUAUCA